rnacentral:rRNA from 1 species
UACGGAGGGUGCAAGCGUUAUCCGGAUUCACUGGGUUUAAAGGGUGCGUAGGAGGGCAGGUAAGUCAGUGGUGAAAUCUCCAAGCUUAACUUGGAAACUGCCGUUGAUACUAUCUGUCUUGAAUAUUGUGGAGGUGAGCGGAAUGUGUCAUGUAGCGGUGAAAUGCUUAGAUAUGACAUAGAACACCAAUUGCGAAGGCAGCUCACUACACAAUCAUUGACUCUGAGGCACGAAAGCGUGGGGAUCAAACAGG